CCUACGGGAGGCAGCAGUGGGGAAUAUUGCGCAAUGGGCGAAAGCCUGACGCAGCGACGCCGCGUGAGGGAUGAAGGUCUUCGGAUCGUAAACCUCUGUCAGCAGGGAAGAACGGUCACUGUGCUAAUCAGCAGUGAAUUGACGUUACCUGCAAAGCAAGCAUCGGCUAACUCCGUGCCAGCAGCCGCGGUAAGACGGAGGGUGCGUGCGUUAAUCGGAAUGAUUGGGCGUAAGGCGCUCGUAGGCGGUAUGUCAAGUCAAGGGUGAAAUCCCCGCGCUCAACGUGGGAACUGCCUUUGAAACUGGCAAACUUGAGUGUGUGAGAGGAUAGUGGAAUUCCAGGUGUAGGAGUGAAAUCCGUAGAUAUCUGGAGGAACAUCAGUGGCGAAGGCGACUAUCUGGCACAUAACUGACGCUGAGGAGCGAAAGCGUGGGUAGCAAACAGGAUUAGAUACCCGGGUAGUC
rnacentral:rRNA from 1 species